rnacentral:rRNA from 1 species
UACGGAGGGUGCAAGCGUUGUCCGGAUUCACUGGGUUUAAAGGGUGCGUAGGUGGCUUUGUAAGUCAGUGGUGAAAUCUUAGAGCUUAACUCUAAAACUGCCAUUGAUACUGCUUAGCUUGAAUCAAGUAGAGGUGGAUGGAAUAAUACAUGUAGCGGUGAAAUGCUUAGAUAUGUAUUAGAACACCGAUUGCGAAGGCAGUUCACUAUGCUUGUAUUGACACUGAGGCACGAAAGCGUGGGGAUCAAACAGG